UACAGAGGGUGCGAGCGUUGUCCGGAAUUAUUGGGCGUAAAGGGCUCGUAGGCGGUCUGUCACGUCGAAAGUGAAAACUCAGGGCUCAACCCUGAGCCUGCUUCCGAUACGGGCAGACUAGAGGUAUGCAGGGGAGAAUGGAAUUCCUGGUGUAGCGGUGAAAUGCGCAGAUAUCAGGAGGAACACCAGUGGCGAAGGCGGUUCUCUGGGCAUUACCUGACGCUGAGGAGCGAAAGUGUGGGGAGCGAACAGG
rnacentral:rRNA from 1 species